CUUUUCGUCGCCGGGCCGUUCAUAAGUGGGUUCCUGGGUUUCGGCCCGUCACUGGGUGACAACGCACUUUCCCCAAUGUUGAGAGGAGAAAAAUGUAAGGUCUUCCUGAGGCUUUUGCCUAACACCUUGUAUCUGGUGGAUGCUUCUCCCCGACGCCAGAGGAGCUGGGCAAGUAGAGGUAAUCAAAGUAGAAAGAGGAAAAGGAAAAGAUGAAAAGCCUGGGAAAAGUGUGACCUGAUCUUGGGACGCGUGGAUGCCUCAAUUAAGUGAAAAAGAGAAGGUCAAGAUUCUAGUCUCCGGCGUCCACCUGGGGAUCCUGAGCAUCUGCACUCCACAGCUGGGCCAUCUUUUCUACCCAGGAGAUGAGAGCUGGUUUGGGCUCUGGAAUCUUGGAGAAGAACGUUAAUCACUCAAUAAACAAUUCUUCAUUCAUUUAAUGAAAACAUAUUGGGCAUUGUUUGUGUGGCAGGCAUUGUUCUAGAUGUUCUAGGUGUUGGGAGACAUUGGUGAACCAAGAUAAGGUUCCUACUCUAAGUUUACACUAAGCUCUAAGUUUACGCUAAGGGAGAGAGAAAGCACCUAUGAGCUCUGGGGGCAAAGGCGCAGAGACCUUCAGGCAGUUAAAGAGCUAGACAAAGAGCUGCAGCUGAGACUUCCUACUUGCGGCAGAAGAGCUUCAGGAAGAACUUCUUAGAGACAUUUGAAAGGCAUUUGAAAAGGGCAUUGAAAGAUGUUAGAUUAGGCUCAUUAAGCCAGAUGUGUGUCCAGGGCUCCCUGCUCCGCAGGAAGCCUGCUUCUGCCUCUCCCACUUCCCCUGCUUCUGUUCCC